rnacentral:rRNA from 1 species
AGUGAACGCUGGCGGCAGGCCUAAUACAUGCAAGUCGAACGGCAGCACAGCAGAGCUUGCUCUGUGGGUGGCGAGUGGCGGACGGGUGAGGAAUACAUGGGAAUCUGCCCAGUCGUGGGGGAUAACGUAGGGAAACUUACGCUAAUACCGCAUGCGCCCUUCGGGGGAAAGCCGGGGACCUUCGGGCCUGGCGCGAUUGGAUGAGCCCAUGUCGGAUUAGCUAGUUGGCGGGGUAAUGGCCCACCAAGGCGACGAUCCGUAGCUGGUCUGAGAGGAUGAUCAGCCACACUGGAACUGAGACACGGUCCAGACUCCUACGGGAGGCAGCAGUAGGGAAUAUUGGACAAUGGGCGCAAGCCUGAUCCAGCCAUGCCGCGUGAGUGAAGAAGGCCCUCGGGUUGUAAAGCUCUUUGUCCGGAAAGAAAGCGCCGGGUUAAUACCCUAGUGUCCUGACGGUACCGGAAGAAUAAGCACCGGCUAACUUCGUGCCAGC